rnacentral:rRNA from 1 species
GAUGAACGCUCGUUGCGUGCCUAAUACAUGCAAGUCGAGCGAACGGACGAGAAGCUUGCUUCUCUGAUGUUAGCGGCGGACGGGUGAUUAACACGUGGAUAACCUACCUAUAAGACUGGGAUAACUUCGGGAAACCGGAGCUAAUACCGGAUAAUAUUUUGAACCGCAUGGUUCAAAAGUGAAAGACGGUCUUGCUGUCACUUAUAGAUGGAUCCGCGCUGCAUUAGCUAGUUGGUAAGGUAACGGCUUACCAAGGCAACGAUGCAUAGCCGACCUGAGAGGGUGAUCGGCCACACUGGAACUGAGACACGGUCCAGACUCCUACGGGAGGCAGCAGUAGGGAAUCUUCCGCAAUGGGCGAAAGCCUGACGGAGCAACGCCGCGUGAGUGAUGAAGGUCUUCGGAUCGUAAAACUCUGUUAUUAGGGAAGAACAUAUGUGUAAGUAACUGUGCACAUCUUGACGGUACCUAAUCAGAAAGCCACGGCUAACUACGUGCCAGCAGCCGCGGUAAUACGUAGGUGGCAAGCGUUAUCCGGAAUUAUUGGGCGUAAAGCGCGCGUAGGCGGUUUUUUAAGUCUGAUGUGAAAGCCCACGGCUCAACCGUGGAGGGUCAUUGGAAGCUGGAAAACUUGAGUGCAGAAGAGGAAAGUGGAAUUCCAUGUGUAGCGGUGAAAUGCGCAGAGAUAUGGAGGAACACCAGUGGCGAAGGCGACUUUCUGGUCUGUAACUGACGCUGAUGUGCGAAAGCGUGGGGAUCAAACAGGAUUAGAUACCCUGGUAGUCCACGCCGUAAACGAUGAGUGCUAAGUGUUAGGGGGUUUCCGCCCCUUAGUGCUGCAGCUAACGCAUUAAGCACUCCGCCUGGGGAGUACGACCGCAAGGUUGAAACUCAAAGGAAUUGACGGGGACCCGCACAAGCGGUGGAGCAUGUGGUUUAAUUCGAAGCAACGCGAAGAACCUUACCAAAUCUUGACAUCCUUUGACAACUCUAGAGAUAGAGCUUUCCCCUUCGGGGGACAAAGUGACAGGUGGUGCAUGGUUGUCGUCAGCUCGUGUCGUGAGAUGUUGGGUUAAGUCCCGCAACGAGCGCAACCCUUAAGCUUAGUUGCCAUCAUUAAGUUGGGCACUCUAAGUUGACUGCCGGUGACAAACCGGAGGAAGGUGGGGAUGACGUCAAAUCAUCAUGCCCCUUAUGAUUUGGGCUACACACGUGCUACAAUGGACAAUACAGAGGGCAGCGAAACCGCGAGGUCAAGCAAAUCCCAUAAAGUUGUUCUCAGUUCGGAUUGUAGUCUGCAACUCGACUACAUGAAGCUGGAAUCGCUAGUAAUCGUAGAUCAGCAUGCUACGGUGAAUACGUUCCCGGGUCU